GACAGAGGCCCCAAGCGUUAGGCGGAAUCACUGGGCUUAAAGCGUGUGUAGGCGGAUCGUUAAGUGUCUUGUGAAAUCCCACGGCUCACCCGUGGAACUGCUGGGCAUACUGGCGAUCUUGGGCCAACUAGGGGCAGUCGGAGCAAGCGGUGGAGCGGUGAAAUGCGUAGAUAUCGCUUGGAACGCCGAAGGUGAAAACAGACUGCUGGGGUUGCGCCGACGCUGAGACACGAAAGCCAGGGGAGCAAACGGG
rnacentral:rRNA from 1 species